rnacentral:rRNA from 1 species
GACGAAGGGGGCUAGCGUUGUUCGGAAUUACUGGGCGUAAAGCGCGUGUAGGCGGUUAUCCAAGUCAGGUGUGAAAGCCUUGAGCUCAACUCAAGAAAUGCACUUGGUACUGGGUGACUAGAGGACCGGAGAGGAUAGUGGAAUUCCCAGUGUAGUGGUGAAAUAACGUAGAGAUUGGGAAGAACACCAGUGGCGAAGGCGGCUAUCUGGACGGUUUCUGACGCUAAGACGCGAAAGCGUGGGGAGCAAACAGGG